GCUAGGGUUAGAUUGUUGUUAGGGUUAGACUGGGUUAGACUGUGGAUUUAGGGUUAGACUGGGUAAGACUGGUGUCAGGGUUAGACUGGGUUAGACUAUGGAGUUAGGGUUAGACUGGGUUAGACUGUGGAGUUAGGGUUAGACUGGGUUAGACUGUGGAUUUAGGGUUAGACUGGGUAAGACUGGUGUCAGGGUUAGACUGGGUUAGACUAUGGAGUUAGGGUUAGACUGGGUUAGACUGUGGUGUUAGGGUUAGACUGGGUUAGACUGUGGUGUUAGGGUUAGACUGGGUUAGACUGUGGUGUUAGUGUUAGACUGGGUUAGACUGUGGUGUUAGUGUUAGACUGGGUUAGACUGUGGUGUUAGGGUUAGAAUGGGGCAUUAGGGUUAGACUG
ensembl:lncRNA